rnacentral:rRNA from 1 species
CUACGGGGGGCAGCAGUGAGGAAUAUUGCACAAUGGGGGGAACCCUGAUGCAGCAACGCCGCGUGGAGGAUGACGCAUUUCGGUGUGUAAACUCCUUUUAUAUGUCAAGAAAAUGACGGUAGCAUAUGAAUAAGCACCGGCUAACUCCGUGCCAGCAGCCGCGGUAAUACAGAGGGUGCAAGCGUUACUCGGAAUCACUGGGCGUAAAGGACGCGUAGGCGGGUUGGAAAGUCAGGUGUGAAAUCCUACAGCUUAACUGUAGAACUGAACUUGAAACUUCUAAUCUAGAGUAUGGGAGGGGGAGAUGGAAUUAGUGGUGUAGGGGUAAAAUCCGUAGAUAUCACUAGGAAUACCUAAAGCGAAGGCGAUCUCCUGGAACAUUACUGACGCUAAGGCGUGAAAGCGUGGGGAGCAAACAGGAUUAGAUACCCGGGUAGUC